rnacentral:rRNA from 1 species
UCCGUUGGUGAACCAGCGGAGGGAUCAUUAU